rnacentral:tRNA from 1 species
GUCGGGGUGUCCGAGCGGUUUAAGGAGCACGGUUGCUAACCGUGUGUGCACUGCACUCGAGGGUUCGAAACGCAGGUAAUUGGUAUCGGUUCCGAUACCUCCUUCGGAAAUCCCUUCCCCGACG